GUGUGCGCGCUUCAGGGCCAGUUUCAGCGGAACGCUCUGCUUUCUGCUUACUGCUAAAUCCUCCUUCUAGAUACACGUUUCAGUAUUAUUAUUCGUGAUUCGCUGUGAUAGGGAAUGUAGCCCAUUUCUUCCCUUUCCAUACGCUACACCUCGACCUGACGUUUUGGGUUGUACCAAUUAAGCUUACUAGGGGGCCUUCACAGGGUAAGCUGGCGACGGCGGUAUAUAGGCGGGGUUGACUAGGAAAGGUGAGGUUAAACGGGGGUAAUCGGUUAUAGAACAGGCUCCUCUAGAUGGGUCUAAAGCACCGCCAAGUCCUUUGGGUUUUAAGCUGUUGCUCGUAGUUUCUCAGGCGGAUAGGGGUUGU
rnacentral:rRNA from 1 species